rnacentral:rRNA from 1 species
GCGUCAAAGCGUAUAAUAAAAAAAUACAAAACAUACCACACCACCCCCUAACAGCACACAGAGCAACUCUAUUUAACAAUAGAAGGACCAAUGCUAAAACUAGUAAUAAGAACAAAUUCUCCUUUACACGCCCAUCAAUCAGAAAUAGAUAACCUACUGAAAGUUAACCAAUCUACAAAAAAGAAAUAAACUAACCAACAAGUAAAAAUUCACUAUUCUUUGUGACACCAACACAGGAGUGUAUCAAGGAAAGAUUAAAAGCCAAACAAGGAAUUCAGCUAAUAGACUCCAACUGUUUACCAAAAACAUAGCCUUUAGCACCACAAGUAUUAAAGGUCUCGCCUGCCCAGUGAUUCUUUCAACGGCCGCGGUAUCCUAACCGUGCAAAGGUAGCGUAAUCAUUUGUCUCCUAAAUAGAGACUUGUAUGAACGGCUAACUGAGAGCCUAACUGUCUCCUAAGGCCAAUCAAUGAAACUGAUCUCCCAGUACAAAAGCUGGGAUAUGCACAUAAGACGAGAAGACCCUGUGGAGCUUAAAAUACACACUAUCUUCAACCUACUAAUAAAACCACGGAAACAAACCCACAACAACAUAGUGCUACUUUUUAGUUGGGGCGACUUUGGAAUAAAAAAAAACUUCCAUGACGAGGGAACCCCCCCCUACCAAGGCCAACAAGCCAAAAUAACCUUUUUUUGACCCAGACAUCUGAUCAAC